AUGGAGGAUGUCCUCACCACUGACAUGGUCCCAGGUGAGGAGGAUGGCUUCUGUCACAGCUGUGCAGCACCCAGCACAACAGGAAUAGGGAAUAAUGUCCACAAAAGGAACAGAGCCGGACCUUGCCUGGUGCAGCCACACUGGGGCCUGUCAGCGCUUGGCACUUUGACAGCCCCAUGGCGAUGGGUACUGGGGGCCUGCAAGGUGAGGCAACGGAUGCCAUGGAACACAGGUGUGAGGAGUAAGGAGGGACAGUUCCCGUUCAUGCUUGGCCUGCUGUGCAGGAUAAAGUGGAGUGCAAGAGUGCAAGUGAUCCAUGAGUCCUGCCCCAUCUCCUCCUUGCAGUGCCCAUGCUUCAAGCAUCCUCCUCCCCUUGGGGAUGGGGAUAUGAUUGUUUCAAGGAAAGGCUGGGCUUCAUCAAGAGACCCAGACGUAAGGAAUGCUGCAAGGACUUGUGUCCAGUGCCCACCAGGAAGGGGCAUGGCUGUAGCACUGGAGCCUGAGAGUCUGCCCCUUGCACACCCUGCGAGGCUGCGUUCAGCCCGGGGGAUUGCUUCUGGGAUGGAAGAGUUAUCAAAGCUCCCAGAAACGUUGCUCUUAGUACUAGCAGUGUGUAUGUCACUCUUCCUUCAGCAAAGGGAAGCUCAAAGGAAGGCAGCGGGCUUGCUGCUUGUCCCAGUGCAACACCGUGCAGCUCCGGUACUGGGCGUCUGGAGGUUUCCGAGACCGACUUUCAGCAGCUGUGCGAGGGAAAGCUAUUCAAAUGGGAGAGGAGGAAAAAUGGAAAACUACUGA
rnacentral:lncRNA from 1 species